UGCGAGCGUUGUCCGGAAUCACUGGGCGUAACGGGCGCGUAGGCGGCGCGGCUAGUCUGCGGUGAAAGCCCGGAGCUCAACCCCGGGUCGGCCGUCGAUACGUCCGGGCUUGAGCACUGUAGAGGCAGAUGGAAUUCCGGGUGUAGCGGUGGAAUGCGUAGAGAUCCGGAAGAACACCGGUGGCGAAGGCGGUCUGCUGGGCAGUAGCUGACACUGAGGCGCGACAGCGUGGGGAGCAAACAGG
rnacentral:rRNA from 1 species